rnacentral:ncRNA from 1 species
GAUUAUCGAAGGAGUUCGCCUUAAUUCAUAAUC